UACGUAGGGGGCAAGCGUUGUCCGGAUUUAUUGGGCGUAAAGGGCGUGUAGGCGGCCAGACAGGUCAGCUGUGAAAACUCGAGGCUCAACCUCGAGACGUCGGUUGAAACCGUCUGGCUAGAGUCCGGAAGAGGAGAGUGGAAUUCCCGGUGUAGCGGUGAAAUGCGCAGAUAUCGGGAAGAACACCCGUGGCGAAGGCGGCUCUCUGGGACGGUACUGACGCUGAGACGCGAAAGCGUGGGGAGCGAACAGG
rnacentral:rRNA from 1 species